AGAUGAUGUUCUCUAACAGCUGCACCAGCACAGAGGAAUAAACUGCAUCGAUGGUUAUUCAUCACAAAUCAUGCAGAAUUAUCAGUUUGAUGUUUUUGUUGUUGAACCAACAGCGCCAAGGGAGCUAAAAAUUAAACUCAGCUGUGAAGAGUUUCCAUUGUUCCUUAUGAAUCACAGGAUUUUUAAAAAGAUAAAAUGAACGCGUUACUCUGAUGACUGAACAUGAAUGCCACAGUAGAAAAUUAGAAAGAUUCAAAUGAGUAAAAAUCAGUGAGAGGUGAGGAAGAGUAAACAGAGGAGCAGGUGGUAGAAUAAAAGAAUAAAUAGGAGGAAACGGAGGAGGGUGAGAUAAAGAUGACAAAAUGUUGUGUAUCAAUAGAAGCCUAGAAAGGAUCACUGGUUUUCCAGAUAUGCGCCAAUUAAAAUAAGCAGCCAAAUCAUAAAAUACCAUCUGCACAUAACAUUUUUGAAAAACAUAAUUAAAAAGAAAUGAUGAAUGAUGUUGAUUCAAGAUUAGAAAAAAAAAAAAAGUCAAAUUAUCUUUUACAUGACAAUCUUCACACCCAUUGGAAUUAAGUAAAUGUAAUAAUCAAUGAACGUUUUCAGUCAAAUAUCACCAAACAGCUGUGAUGGAUGCUAUUUAAAGCUCUCUGAAUCAGUCAGGGCAGACAGCAGGACAGUGACAAUGACAUGACUGGAGGAGACGUGAAGCAUUGUCCUGGUUUAAAGGACAGAAGAUGGAGGUCAGUCCGUGUGUGGUUGAUGUGUCUGUGGAGUCUGGUGGAGAAGAGACAGAGAGAGCCGAGGUCCAAACACUGACAGGACACAAGAGAGCAGCUCCAGCCCUCUGGCUCUGACAGAAGACAGGCUGGGACGGAGGACACAUGUCCAGCUUUGGAUCAGAUAUAGGAGGACAUGGAGAGAUAUGAGAGGACAGGACCAAGGACUGAACACUGAGGGGACACACACCAUCCCUCUGGUUUACUAAGAGAACAAACACUUCACAGUGUCACAAAGGUCUCAUCAUGUGAGGAUGUGGCCUUCAUUUAAACUGAGGACUGCAGGGUAUCUGGCCUACAUGAGACACAUUUACAUAGAACUGUUUUGUUAUAUUAAAGUCUAAACUUCACACUCAGACUCUCUAGGCUCUCCUGGUAGAAGUAAAAGCCAAUCUAGUUCCUAUUAUCAGGUGAUUUAAUGUUCAUUUUCUCCACUAUGAACGGUCAUCAGCUCACCACCUGCUGGACUACAGUGUUGAUCAGCUCAGCAGACGUGUUGUGAUCUAAUAGGAUCAGACAGCGGUGAGACACACGGGAUAAAAACAGCUCUGAUCCGACCAGAGUAGCUGAACUGGAAACAGUUCAUACAGAUUCCUGCUGUCUUGAUGUCAUGAACACUAACAGAGAAACACACAGAUUUGUGCAGUAGCUGCAGCUGCACUUGUUCUCAUCCGUCUUGGCUUUAAAAAGGAGCAGAAAAGUUCAUUCUUGACCAAAGAAAACAACACGAGAACACACAUGAGAAUUCUUAAAAUUGCUCUGGAUGAAAUCAUAACAGCUGCUGAGCUAACGUGUAAACAAAUCCAUCUCUAUGGCAACUGAAUAAAGCCCAUCUGCAGAUGAAGACCAUCUGAUAUGGUUGGGAGCUCCAGAAGAAGCUACUAAGUGGACCUUUAGUUGGGAGUGUUUUGUUAGACUAUUACUGGGGUCAAAAGUGAACUUUUAUGCUUGAUCAUAAUGUUAUUUAGAAGUCAGGAUUAAUAAGAAAUAUCAGCCCCAAUAUGCAAAUAUACAUAUAAGACGUGAAGCCUUUCAUUCAAUAUAUUAAAAACUCAACAGGUGGUUCCACUUCAAGCUUUAACCAACUGUAUGUAUCAGACUGUGUGUUGCAAUAUCUUCAAAUAGGUCCCAACUUGUCCUUCCUCCACCCAUUUGUCUCCAUCCCUCUGUCUGUUCUCAUGCAGACUCACUCCUUCCACACUAAUGAGCAGUUUCCAAUACUGUCUUUAUGUCCAUCUCCCUUUUCAUGCCAGUAUAUUCAACAUAGAUACACUACAAAUGCAGCAUUUAGCAUAUAUGCACACAUUACAGAAAAUAAAUGUAAUUUCUAUGUUCCUAAAGUCAAACACAAACACGUUCUUGUUCUUUCUCAGGCAAACACAUGCACACACCGUCCUCCAGACUGUCCCCACUGCUGCUCUCUGGGAAAAUAACUCGUCACCACGUUGUUCCUCCAAAUACUACUGAUUAUUAAUGUAUGCAAGAUGAUUUGUCUGCAAACUGACACACAUCACAUUACACAUUCUCCACCUGCUUUGUGGUUGUGUAAAGGAGUGUGUGAAGUGUGGAGGCGGCCGUCACAGUGACUGACUUCUCCUCUCUGCUCGGUUCCACUCAGCUGCCCGUCACUGACUCUUCAUAACACAGAGUUGGAGGUUAGAGAUCUAUUUACUGAAGCUGGAGCUUUUAACAGUCCACAUUAUGACAAACAGUGUGAACUGUACAACUGAUGAAGGAGAGCGUCAACAAUCUGCGGAAGGCAGCGAGGUAUCGGUCUGAUCCUUCAGACCUCUCUGAGCUAAACACACCAGCAGCCUGAGUGAUGAAGCUCUGCUCCUCUUCAGUUUGUGUCCUUCAGAAAGUUCCAUCUGGAGGUUUUAGUGAAUGUGAGAGGACUUAUGGUAUUAUGGGAUGACGGGAACACAGAGACACUUUCUGCCUCGGCUGUAGACUUCCAAUCAGAGGCAGAAGGAUCAGCAGACUCUGUAGAUGUUUGAGGUUGGUCAUUGGGUGACCUCCGAGUUGUUUUCCUUCUCUAGGAUUGUAUCAGGUGUAACUUCUUCAGAUACGGCUCUUGUUUGUGCUUCUUUCAUUUCUAUACGAUACAUACUAGUCUUCAGUAUUCUCUGUUGUAAGAUAUGAUCUGCAUUCUGGGAAAUUAUGUGCCUCUGAUGUGUCAUAGUUUCUAGAUUAUAUUCUAAAUUCUAUCACACUCACACAUUCUGUUCCAAACAGAAUACUGGAAGUCAUUAAUAGACACAGACUAGCAUCCCCACUCAUAACCAGUCAUUGGUUUACAGGUCAAUAGUCAGUCUCAGGUCUCGGCUAUAAAAUCCAAAAUCAAGUCAGUCGGAUUCUUCAAACCUUUCUGAACAUAACAAGUCAACAGGGUGAGAGAUGAAGCUCCUUUUUGUUGUGUCCUUCAAAAAAAUGAGAGAGGAACUGAGCGUGAGAGGACUUAUUAUGGACUGACUGGAACAUGAAAACACUUCACAGUCAUUUCUAGCAGCAGCCAGCAGACAGACAGUCAUCAGAAGGCCUCUUCACCUCGCUCUGACAGAGAGAUGGAGCCCAGUUCAGACUCUGUUCAACUCUGAAGAACAACCUACUUGAACACUGAGGCGAUGAGAGUCGACUCAACUGCAUUACAAAAUAGUAAAAGUAUCAGAGAUGACAUUUAAACACAUUAGGAGCUUUUAAAUAUUUUGAUAUGAAUAUGUUAUAUUACAUAAAUGUAAAUGUCAAGCUCUUUAUAUUAUUGUCUUUAGCCAUGUUGCACCAGCACAACACUAGUGAACACUGUUCUCUAAACCAUGAAAUGAUCUCCUCUGAACGUCACUGUGACAAAUCAAACUGGAUCCAUCUGGUGUCUCAGUGGAACAUCGAGUGCUGAAAUGUGUCGGAGGCGGCUGUUGUUGCUACAGUCACAGAUGUUAUAUUAACAAAACAAAGAUUAGACUGGGAUUGGUGUUUGUGUGUGUUUUGAAACUGUAAAUACAGCGAUAAUUCAUGCUGCUGCAUUACAUGUCGUUAUGUAAAAGAAAUAUGUCCCCUGCAGCUCUGUCCUCCUGCAUGCUGGCUCACACAGUGCUGUGGGAGUGCAGUGUGACCUCCCAGAGCUCCCAGCAGUACAGGAUGUCAUUAUGCAGCACACAGGACCCAGUUCACACUCAGACUAGCAGGACUGCCCUGCUGGCAGCAACCAGAGCUGGAAGCUAUACACAUUAUCACCACAUUCAGUGCUACGAAUACUCAGCAGCUCAGCAUGACCGCUCAUUAGGAGAUGACCAGCACUGUUGUACUUAAAUACUACUGAAAGGCCGACCGCAGAGACAACACAAAGGCUGUUCUAGGAAUACUAAAAAGUUAAUCCAAACAACAAAUAACCAAGAACAAGGUCAUCCCAAUUAAACAUCUGACAUAUACCCAACAGGCGCACACACCUACUUUAAACCUCAUUGUUUUUCUUUAAACUUCCUCUUACCUUUAUCAAAGACAGAAAAUCUGAUGAAAUUGAGAUUCAGAAAGACCUUUUCUUUCUUCCCAUUAGGAUUCUCUUUAGUUGUUUAU